AUUGAACGCUGGCGGCAGGCCUAACACAUGCAAGUCGAGCGGAUGAAGGGAGCUUGCUCCUGGAUUCAGCGGCGGACGGGUGAGUAAUGCCUAGGAAUCUGCCUGGUAGUGGGGGAUAACGUCCGGAAACGGGCGCUAAUACCGCAUACGUCCUGAGGUAGAAAGUGGGGGAUCUUCGGACCUCACGCUAUCAUAUUAGCCUAGGUCGGAUUAGCUAGUUGGUGGGGUAAAGGCCUACCAAGGCGACGAUCCGUAACUGGUCUGAGAGGAUGAUCAGUCACACGGGAACUGAGACACGGUCCAGACUCCUGCGGGAGGAAGCAGUGGGGAAUAUUGGACAAUGGGCGAAAGCCUGAUCCAGCCAUGCCGCGUGUGUGAAGAAGGUCUUCGGAUUGGAAAGCGAUUUAAGUUGGGGGGAAGGACAGUAAGUUAAUACCUUGCUGUAUUGACGUUACCAACAGAAUAAGCUCCGGCUAACUUCGUG
rnacentral:rRNA from 1 species